rnacentral:piRNA from 1 species
UGACAAGUGUUAGUGCCAGUGUCAUGGUC